GGGUAGGUGGCAGAGCGGUCAAUUGCACCAGACUGUAAAUCUGGCCUCUUCGGAGUUCGGGGGUUCGAAUCCCUCCCUACCCAC
rnacentral:tRNA from 2 species